CGACUGAUGAUAGCUGCAAACCGUCAUAUAACUAUGAAAUGCUAUGUUUUCUUGGACUGUCUGUUAGUGUGCUAUACAUCGGAAUUAGGUUGGCUAAAAUUCGACGUGAAGUGCGGAAAAUUGGUAAUGGAACAUUUGGGUUGUGUGAUGGUUGUCACUAGGAACAUGAUAUUGUACGUUUGGUGAGUUGUAGGCCUUACAAACAUGAUCUGUGUUAUUCAUGUUUGGAGCGUCUUCGAUAUUGUCCUGAGUGUAAUUCGUUGAUAAGAGCAUUUAGGUAAGGUGUCUGCGUUAUGGCUAAAGCCAUUAUCGUCAGUGCCUACAAACCUGCACAAUGUAGAAUGCAAGACAGCUCUGUACCUGAGAGAAGAAAUGCAUUUUCGUUUUAAAAAAUCAAAAUAUUGUUUCAAUCUAAAGAAAAAUACAUAGUUACCUGUACAUAGACCUAUCUAAUUUUUCUAGUUUUCCCUCUACAUUUACUUUGUUUGUCAAAAAUUAAAACGAUUUCUUGGAGACUGCCUACAAAUUAUUAUAUUUUGUUGUUAGCUUGGUGAACUUUAUGAAUAAAGUAUUACACAACUACAAUUCACAACAUGCCAAUGUCAUUGUGUUGUUAACAUAUGAGGUAUAAAUUAAACUUAUUUACUUAUCAUAUCAACUUGAUCAUAUACAUUAAAAUUUGAUUCUUGUGAUUAAAAUAUUGAGAUGUUUUA